rnacentral:rRNA from 1 species
UCGUGCUUUGCGGCACGAGUUGUAGAUUGCAGGUUGGAGUCUGUGUGGAAGGCGGUGUCCAAGUCCCUUGGAACAGGGCGCCCAGGAGGGUGAGAGCCCCGUGGGAUGCCGGCGGAAGCAGUGAGGCCCUUCUGACGAGUCGAGUUGUUUGGGAAUGCAGCUCCAAGCGGGUGGUAAAUUCCAUCUAAGGCUAAAUACUGGCGAGAGACCGAUAGCGAACAAGUACUGUGAAGGAAAGAUGAAAAGCACUUUGAAAAGAGAGUGAAACAGCACGUGAAAUUGUUGAAAGGGAAGGGUAUUGCGCCCGACAUGGGGAUUGCGCACCGCUGCCUCUCGUGGGCGGCGCUCUGGGCUUUCCCUGGGCCAGCAUCGGUUCUUGCUGCAGGAGAAGGGGUUCUGGAACGUGGCUCUUCGGAGUGUUAUAGCCAGGGCCAGAUGCUGCGUGCGGGGACCGAGGACUGCGGCCGUGUAGGYCACGGAUGCUGGCAGAACGGCGCAACACCGCCCGUCUUG